rnacentral:rRNA from 1 species
CAACGCGAAGAACCUUACCUGGGCUAGACAACGGUGGACCGCCCUAGAGAUAGGGUUUUCCCUUCGGGGACUGCCGGUUCAGGUGCUGCAUGGCUGUCGUCAGCUCGUGCCGUGAGGUGUUGGGUUAAGUCCGCAACGAGCGCAACCCUCGCUCUUAGUUGCCACCAUUGAGUUGGGCACUCUAAGGGGACUGCCGGCGUUAAGCCGGAGGAAGGCGGGGACGACGUCAAGUCAUCAUGGCCCUUAUGUCCAGGGCUACACACGUGCUACAAUGGGCGGUACAAAGGGCUGCAAACCCGCGAGGGGGAGCCAAUCCCAAAAAACCGCUCUCAGUUCGGAUUGGAGUCUGCAACCCGACUCCAUGAAGGCGGAAUCGCUAGUAAUCGCGGAUCAGCACGCCGCGGUGAAUACGUUCCCGGGCCUUGUACACACCGCCCGUCACACCAUGGGAGCCAGCUGUACCGGAAGCCGGUGCGCUAACCCGCAAGGGAAGCAGCCGCCUAUGGUAUGACUGGUGACUGGGGUGAAGUCGUAACAAGGUAAGCGUAGAUGA